CAUAGAACCUCUAAUUUAAAGAUGGCUGCCCGCACAACGUGCCGGAUUGAAUGAUUCAUUUCUGUGGAGUAAUGUCAAUGAACGACAGCUUUAACAUCAAUAUACAUUUUCAAAGAAGGACCAAUUUAUUAGUUCAUCAUAGCCACCUAUCAUUGAUCAACAAUGCCAGUGUCAAUGACACCCACAGGCGGCCCUAGCUGCUUCGAUCGCGUCAAGAUGGGUUUCAUGAUUGGAUUCUGUGUCGGCCUGGGAUCUGGCGCCCUCUUUGGUGGCUUCUCAGCAUUGAGAUAUGGAUUGAGGGGCAGAGAGUUAAUGUCGACGGUUGGCAAGACGAUGAUUCAAGGCGGCGGAACAUUUGGACUUUUUAUGAGUGUUGGAACGGGCAUUCGAUGCUAGCAAACACAUGCUGUUUGCCAGAAGUGGAUGAAUUCUGUCUGAACGCUUCUCCAAAAUUUGUGACCCUUGAUGUAGAUGAUGGACAAGUGCCACUUAUGUACAUAGGCUGGCUGCGCAACGAUAAUUGACCCUGGAUGGAAUCCGUGCUCAAACUUUGGCAGGCUUCUUUGCUCAAUCAAUUUUUCAAUUACUGUAGAAAACCAAAAAAAAUAAAAUUUUUUUGGGAAAUGAAAAAAGCUGACGGAAUCAUCAUUUCAUAUUGAUCGACUUUUUGUUCUCAAAACAAUGGAUAACUAAUACCUCUCUAUAAAAAGAUAGAAACACAAAUCAAAGAAAGAAAUGGAGAGUUCAAUUGAAAAGAAAUGUAUAUGUAAUUAUCCAGUUUAAAUUUUCAUGAUAGCUGCCUAAUUACCUAUUUUGAACAUACCAUUAAAGUACAAAAAUUGCAGUAUAACAAAAUCAACAAAUUGAAACCUUAAAUUCUAGUUGCACCUUCUUAGAAACCCCAAAAAUAUAGUCGGUCUCUGGUCAGUGCGCGUGACAAUGUUGAUCAUGCGUGUCAAUGUUUUUUUCCCUUCAAAUUUUCCGUGGUAGCUACAACAGCGCCCUCUAUUGCUGCACCACCUCAAAUUUUCGUGGGCAGCUCGACUCCAAAUGGUGGAGAGCACCAAGGCAAAUGAUGGAGGACACCAAAGAAUGAGGGAAAAAACCCAAAAUGGUACCCACCUUGUCUUGAAAAAAAAAAAAAAAAAAGGCCGCAUCAAUUCAGGAACUUUGGUCUGACCACAGACCGACUAUUUUUUUUGUUGGCCUUGCAUGUAAUCUUCCCAAUAUUAAGAAUAUUCUUUUAAAAAUAUACAUCACAGUUCAACACUAAAUUUUAAUGAAAAUUAUUUAAACCAUUUAAGACCACAUACCCAUUCAUUAAUUUACAAUUUGAAUGUUACAGGAAAAAAGUUCAAAGGUUGCUAUUUUUACAAAGAGCCCAUUUUGAGGGAUUGAUAUUUCUUUGUGGAAACAACGACAUUAUUGGUCUGUCUUUGUAUUAAAAUCAAAUAAAAAGUUUCAAAGGGGGAAAAAUGGA